rnacentral:lncRNA from 1 species
UUUUCAAAUGCAAUCAAGGCUUCCUAUAUACGGGCGGAAAGGCGGCUUCCUCCGCUGAGAAAGCUGAAGGUCCUUACCUGCGGCGUACGGACUGCUCUGGUGGUCCCUGAGGGUGCCCAGGCUGCAGGAUCCCGGCGUGAGGGAAGGGCAGCCGGACGUGGCCCCAAAAGUGGUCCUUAUCGGGUUAUACUGGAAGCCACUGGCCUGGCUGCAGGAACUGAAGUCAGCAUAGGCUGAAGCCAGGCUCGAGGUGUCCAUCCCAGCCAUACAGGACUCGUAGGCAGAGGAAUUGAGGGUUCUCACAACCAAUUGAAAGAGAAUAAAACAUUCUCUUGCUUCAUAACCAAAGUGCUGCUCACACUUACAGCAACCUUUGGAAGGGGAAUCCUGGCUAUUGAUGUCCCUGGAAAGAGAGUGGUAGAAGAAAAGAAAUUGAAGACAUGGAAGAAAGAUGAAAACGCUGGCUACUAAAUACCUAUGUGUGGUUACUGAGUGUGGUAUACUUGGACACCGAGCUCCCCCACCCAUCAGAUGUCACAAAGAGUCCUCUUACUCUUGGAUAAUUUCAAAUCAAACUGACCUCCCCAGAGCUCAGCUUACAAGGCUUGAAGUGGUUACAGUCUUCCCCAGCAUCAGAAGCCAAAACUCUACUGCCAGAGGCACCCAGCCAUAUGAAGCCUCCUACAAGUCUCCAUCCUUGCUUAAAACUACCUUUAUGAUAAUCCACAGGAGCCUCUUGCUUCAAUCAUAAAUUAUACAUUUCUAGGAAUGCUGCUUUUCUCUUCAUUGACUACCAUUUCCAGGAAAGAAGGGUUUUUUUUUCUUUUACUGUACUCAGUGGAAGUCUUUCUGCUGACAUAGUCCAUAAUUAAAAAUCAAAGUAAUAAAGUGACAUUCUCAAAUUUGAAUACUGGGUACAAAAGCUUAAUUGCCAGUCCUUCUUGCCAAACAGCCCAGUGGCUCCAACAUUAAGUCACAGAGACUUUCAAGAGAGUGAUUUGAUAGAACUUUAAAAGGGCACACGUUUAAUUUUAUUAGAACAAGUUUUAGAACCUUAAGACAAACUGCAAAUACUGAAUUACAAUUUUUUUUCACAUUUUAUUUAUUGGGAAGUUAUUUAACAACUGUAACUGAUAUCCAAGUGGAUAUAUAACUAUUCAAGGGCCUACACCAAUAGGGAAUGUCAUUAAAGUUGUCUAGGCUUAAGGUGCUUGUUUCCAGGAGGACAUAUGAAAGUGAAGAUGCUGCAGAACCAUUGAGCACCCCAAGUGACUAGUGAACACCCAGUGUCUGACUUCAUAAGAGACAGCAAUUAUUUAUACUAAUGAAUUAUGACUCUUCACAGAACAAAGUUGCCUCAAGUCAGCUUACUUUACAUC